UUUACCAAAGUCAAUACUGCCUGAGUUACUUUUCCAUCAUUACCUAUGGAGCUGCUUUUCUGUUUUUCCUGUUUACAACCUGUUACUACCUGAAUUCCUCCUGUCUGAGCUUCCUGAGUGCGAGAAGUAUAGGUGUGCAACUCGAUCGUUUAACACUGAUUCAUUAUUAUUGACAAAGCAUGGUCUUUGUCAGGCUGUGACCCAUGAUUCCAGGCAUAUGCCCAAACUCCUGGCUGCCACUCAAGUUUCUGAUGGAUGGUGGCUGCCCUGGUUCCUCCUUGCCCUGUAGACUACUGCCCUAGUCUCUGUCUUCACUCUCACGUCGUUCUGGCUUUAGAGGUAAGACAGAAGAAAUGGGUUAUGGAAUUUGCCCCCGAGAUUAAGGGAAGCUGCUGAGGCCAGGCAUGUGUGCGGGGUGUCCCUGAAUGGAGGCCUAGAGAGACCACUGCAUGAAGCUGUCAAGUUGAAGCCUGGAUUGUCUUGGAGAACCCAAGAUGUUAGAGAUGCCAGUCAUGAGAUAUUGGCCUAGGAGAGCUGCUAACAGGAAGUGGAACCAGCCCGAGGGAAAGAAGUGUGCUGCAGUCAAAAAAGCUGAAUGUAGAAAUCUUGGCUACUUAGCCAGCACCAUGUCUUCCUGUACAUCUCCACGCUCGCCGCCAUGAUACUAAUGGACUGGACCUCUGAAACUGCUGCUCCAGCAGGAGGUGGUGGCGAGGUCAAGGUCCAUGAGGUGAAGCUGAUAGUGAAGAGAAGAGCUGCAUAGCACAGGGAUCCUGGACCUCAAAUGACAGAGCAGCCGCCAUGCCGGCUCUGACACAGCACCUUUUACACCUUUUUACAAGGUUCAAAGUCUUGGUGACUGAGGUUGCAGUAGUCCAUCUUGUAUCAUCACUAAUUAAUGCGCAGCCAUCCGAACCCCGAUCAUUUCCAGCAUCCCUAGUUCUAACCCAGAUUCCAGAAAACAGUAAGGACAGAAACAGCUUGACUGUUUCUAGGUCGUCCAGAGCCUCCCUAUUCCUCUAGGACAGGAGUCUCUCUUUGAGGCCAGCAAUGUGGUGGCAAAAGUGUAUGGCCCAGGGCAGCUUGGCUACAUUGCUGCCAUGACAGGCUCAAUAGGGACCAGCCAGAAAGUAGGCCUGAGUUUCAGCUUCCCCUAAGACACCACCCGACUCCAGGAAAGAUCAUAAACUAAGACCACUCAGGAAUGGACCAAUACCUAACAUUCCAAAGGAAAUAGCUAAUGUUCAUACCCAUUCCCUUUCACCAACACACCCCCAAGACAAAUGUCAGCCAAUCAGGGGUCCUGAACCUUAGAAACCCCUCAACCCAACCUCUGUCAUGAUUAAAAACCCCACCCCACCUGAGCUCAAGGCUCUCUGAUCUCUCACUGCUUUGUCAGACACAUGGAGGGUCCAAAGCUUGAACUUGAAUAAAGGCUCUUUGCUUUUGCAUAUGGA